CAUGAUUUGUUAUGUGUGAUUUCUUCUCAGCUAACAAAAAAACGGCCAUCUGCCAAUGGUCUGGAGUUCAUUGGUCCUCUUGUGAGCUCAGUGGAAGAGACCUCAGACCCCAUUAGUACAGUUAUUAAAGGUGAAAUUCCCUCCUGGAUCACUGGCAGCUUCCUCAGAAAUGGACCUGGAAAAUUUGAGUUUGGUAAAAUUAAAGGCGACUGAUAAUGCUGGAGUGAGUUUUGUUAAGUACAAGGGAGAUUUCUACGUAUGCACAGAGACCAACUUCAUGCGCAGAAUCGACCCUUUGAGUCUGGAAACCAAAGAAAAGGUGGAUUGGUCAAAAUAUAUUGCAAUAAAUGCAGCAACCGCUCAUCCACAUCAUGACCAUGAAGGAGCGACUUACAACUUGGAAAACUCAUAUGGCCGAAGAGGUGGGAUGCCUCAUUUAUGCUUUUUAUAUAAGAACUAAACUCUAAUGGGUUCUUUUUUUUUAUUAAUGUUUUCAAACCAAAGCACUCCACCCAUCUUCCACUGGUCAAACAAACACGCCCAGAAACACUUAAGCCAAUGUUUUAAAAGCACCACAGAGCCACACUUUUUGGAAAAAUCAAUAUAGAAUGGCCACACCUUUCUAUUCUGAUUCUCAAAGGCUUCUCCUACCAUAUCCUCCAAAUUCCACCAGGUGAAGGAAAGAAGGAUGCUGCUGAUCUGUCAGGAACAGAUAUUCUUUGCUCUAUUUCUGCUUCUGACCAAAGGAAGCCAUCAUACUACCACAGUUUUGGUAGAUUUGCCUGCCAUGUUUGCAUUUUCAAAUAAUCUGAUCUGAAUUUCUGCUUCUUUAUCCAUCUGUAAUAUUUUGCAUUUAUUUACAUAGAAUUUCAUAUGGUUGGAAAUGUGGGCCACACUUUUGUUCAUGUAGAUUGUCCAGUAUAUUGUAAUCUUCACCAAUGGAAAAUAAGCCUUUUCUUUUCCUUUCUGUGUUUUAAUUCAUUUUAUGCUAUGUUUGCAGUCAUGUCGAAGAAUUAGAUAGUCUUCAUUGAGCAGUCGAUCAUUUACAUUUAUGCAUUUAGCAGACACUUUUAUCCAAAGCUACUUACAGUGCAUUCAGGCUAACAUGUUUUACCUAACGUGUUCCCUGGGAAUCAAACCCACAACCUUUUGCGCUGCUAACGCAAUGCUCUACCACUGAGCCACAGGAACACAAUCAAGCUAGACUUGCUGAAAUUCAUCCUGUACAGAGUUGCUGGAAAAAGCUUUCAUUAUGACCUGGAACCUGGAACUAGAAACCAUCUUCCGUUUGGCAGACAGACGCACUGGCCAGGCAUGGCAGAGUCCAUCCCAACAUCAUACUGACUGACUUCUAAUUGUGGGCACUGUGUAUUUCUGUCGUGUCACCUCUGUCAUCCAUGUUUUCAUCCAUGCAUCUCAUCAAAACAAAAUACUACAGCACUGCCAUGUUCACGCUGCACUAGAUUAAUGCAUAUGAGGAUAAUGGAUAUUUGAUUAUGGACAUGUGCUGUGGAGAUGAUGGCAAUGUGAUUGGUGACUUCACAAUGGAGAACCUUCAUGCAUCUGGAUAAGAACUUGACAAGGUGUAAUACCUUCACAAUCCAAAACAUGUCAAAUGUCGAAAAUGCUGACCUCUCUUUCAUUUUUUAUAUAAAUUUAAUUUUAACACAGUGUUUAUCUAUUGGAUUUUCCAUUUCUUCAAUUCAUUGUGUACAAACUUAUCACGAUGAUAUGUACUGCCUCUGGACAUAAAGGAAGAUGAACCUAAUGACCACAACCUCAUCAAUUUGCAACAACAACAUCAUAAUAAUAUUGACACAACUCUGAAGAGAGAAUAAAUACGGUGUUCAAGCAUGGUCCAAAUACUUUUUUGUAUUUCAUUAAGCAACACAAGUGAGCUCCAAAUCACUAGGUGGCACUCGUGGUAUAUGGAAGCGCUGGUUUACACUUCUGUAUUUUACUUUUUUUACUCUACAAAUGGGGAAAGGACAAAUAAUUUUUUUUUUUACUUUUUGCAAACAACUCUAAAGGCUUAUACAAAACGGCUGAAUUUGACAAACCUGUAAAAAAAAUACACUUGCUGUGGCGAAGAAAGUGUUUUAGACAUUUAGAGCAAAGGUGUGUCCUGCUGACAUUCAGUAGUUUAUUUGUAACUGACAAUACAAAUUCAGUGAUUUCUCAUUACAACAACGUCAACAGUACAUUUCUAGACUAUUCAAAUGUAUGAACGUGUUUAGACUGGAAAUAAAGUGGUCUUUGCAAAGAAGCACAAAACGUAUUUUCAAACUGUUGGUAAGACCUAUUUUAGUAAACUUAAAUAAAAUUAAGUUUUAAGUUUUAAAUAAAAAUAACUAUUUACUUAGUUUGUAUUUUGGUCAAUUAUGUUGACUUGCGGUUUAAGUGGUGUCAAAAGCACAUUAGGUGCAUAACCCUUACUAGGCUUUAAAGUGACUCUGCAAUCACCAAGCCCAAACUCAUUGCUCAAGUUGUCAAUUGACUGUACCUGCAUAGCCUCGCGUAGCCAGACCUUCAGAUGAAGGUCUGGAAUUCAUGGCAGCUUUCAUUGGCCAAGGCCCAUCCAUGAG